GACGAACGCUGGCGGCAGGCCUAACACAUGCAAGUCGAGCGAAGCCUUCGGGCUUAGCGGCGGACGGGUGAGUAACGCGUGGGAACGUGCCCUUUGGUACGGAAUAGCCCCGGGAAACUGGGAGUAAUACCGUAUGUGGUCGAGAGACGAAAGAUUUAUCGCCAAAGGAUCGGCCCGCGUUGGAUUAGGUAGUUGGUGGGGUAAUGGCCUACCAAGCCGACGAUCCAUAGCUGGUUUGAGAGGAUGAUCAGCCACACUGGGACUGAGACACGGCCCAGACUCCUACGGGAGGCAGCAGUGGGGAAUUUUAGACAAUGGGGGAAACCCUGAUCUAGCCAUGCCGCGUGAUCGAUGAAGGCCUUAGGGUUGUAAAGAUCUUUCAGUGGGGAAGAUAAUGACUGUACCCACAGAAGAAGCCCCGGCUAACUCCGUGCCAGCAGCCGCCGUAA
rnacentral:rRNA from 1 species